UUUAUUACUCCCACCUACUCCUACACCCACCUACUCCAUCAGCCACCAUAUGCCACAACUUUAUAGCUUUUUGUUGAGACACCUCAUUCACCACCAUACCUUUCAAUCAUACCAUUCUCUGCAAAGACACCUCAUUCAUCACCAUACCUUUCUCUACAAAGUCAUUUCACUUCAAUAAAGGAUCUAUCUUUUCCCUCACUUAGCAUUUUCGAUCAAUCUCAUUUCUCCCUCAAGUUACUCUCUAGUUCCAACAAACCCAAAGAAAUCCAAGUGCAGAGCUCAGCCAUAUUGCGAAUGGAUCAAAUUGCCACAAAACUCAGAUUUCAGCAACUCAAACCAGAGGUUGAGCAGUUGAUGGAAUGGAAUGAUGUUGAGCGGGUGUUCCUUUGACAUUUCAAGAAAUGUAACCUUGAGUAUACAUCUUCAUAUGUAUAUCUCACACGUUUUCCGCUGCAAAACACUUUGAUUAGGAUAGCUCUAUGUUAUGAAGUUGUUAUACGUGUUAUUGGGUAACCCACCUUAAUCAGUUCUCAUUUAUGUGUAUAUUUUAUAAGUAUCCAAAUAAUCAUAUAUGAUCCUAGCAUUUUAUCUAUGAGUGACAUUUCCAUA